rnacentral:tRNA from 1 species
GGGGAUAUAGCUCAGUUGGUAGAGCAUCUGCUUUGCACGCAGGGUGUCAGCGGUUCGAAUCCGCUUAUCUCCA